rnacentral:rRNA from 1 species
AUUAAACGCUGGCGGCAUGCCUUACACAUGCAAGUCGAACGGCAGCACGGGGGCAACCCUGGUGGCGAGUGGCGGACGGGUGAGUAAAGCAUCGGAACGUAUCCUGGAGUGGGGGGAUAACGUAGCGAAAGUUACGCUAAUACCGCAUAUUCUGUGAGCAGGAAAGCAGGGGAUCGCAAGACCUUGCGCUCUGGGAGCGGCCGAUGUCGGAUUAGCUAGUUGGUGGGGUAAAGGCCUACCAAGGCGACGAUCCGUAGCGGGUCUGAGAGGAUGAUCCGCCACACUGGGACUGAGACACGGCCCAGACUCCUACGGGAGGCAGCAGUGGGAAUUUGGACAAUGGGCGCAAGCCUGAUCCAGCCAUGCCGCGUGAGUGAAGAAGGCC